CCCGGUGUCUCGUCUCUCUCUCUUCCUGUUCCAAACCACGUGGACGCGCCUGAGGCUGCGGGGCUGCAGGAGGGAACCUGGGCCGCCACGGCCGCUGUUGCCGCCGUCGCCAGAACCGCGACCCCCGCGCCCGUCCGAAAUCGCCUCGCCCCGGCCGCCCGCGCCUUUGCGGAGGGCGUGCACAUGGCGACCCAGGCGCACUCCCUCAGCUACGCGGGCUGCAACUUCUUGCGCCAGCGUCUGGUCUUGUCCACUCUGAGCGGGCGCCCCGUCAAAAUCCGAAAGAUUCGGGCCAGAGACGACAACCCCGGCCUCCGAGAUUUUGAAGCCAGCUUCAUAAGGCUGUUGGACAAAAUAACUAAUGGUUCUCGAAUUGAAAUAAACCAAACAGGAACGACCUUAUAUUAUCAGCCUGGCCUCUUGUAUGGUGGGUCCGUGGAACAUGACUGCAACGUCCUUCGCAGCAUUGGGUAUUAUCUGGAAAGUCUUCUCUGCCUGGCCCCAUUUAUGAAGCACCCGCUGAGAAUAGUUCUGCGAGGAGUGACCAAUGACCAGGUUGACCCUUCGGUUGAUGUUCUUAAGGCAACAGCGCUUCCUCUAUUGAAACAGUUUGGGAUUGAUGGCGAAUCAUUUGAGCUAAAGAUUGUGCGACGAGGAAUGCCUCCUGGAGGAGGAGGUGAAGUGUUUUUCUCAUGUCCUGUAAGGAAGGUCCUGAAGCCCAUUCAGCUCACAGAUCCAGGAAAGAUCAAACGUAUCAGAGGAAUGGCUUAUUCGGUACGCGUAUCACCUCAGAUGGCAAACCGGAUUGUGGAUUCUGCAAGGAGCAUCCUCAACAAGUUUAUACCUGAUAUCUAUAUUUACACAGACCACAUGAAAGGAGUCAACUCUGGGAAGUCUCCAGGCUUCGGGCUGUCCCUGGUUGCCGAGACCACCGGCGGCACCUUCCUCAGUGCUGAACUGGCCUCCAACCCCCAGGGCCAGGGAGCAGCGGUGCUUCCCGAGGACCUCGGCAGGAACUGUGCCAAGCUGCUGCUCGAAGAAAUCUAUAGGGGUGGAUGUGUGGACUCGACCAACCAAAGCCUGGCUCUAUUACUCAUGACCCUUGGACAGCAGGACGUUUCCAAAGUCCUGCUCGGACCGCUCUCUCCCUACACGAAACCUCAGGCUGGUUUCCCUCAUGGUUACAAGGUGGAUGCCAAGAGCAACUACAGCUUCUUUUCAUAUUCAGCAGACUGGAACUCUCCUGAGAGCUAGACGGACCAACCCAUCACCUGAUGGAAGUUCGCUCACAUGGACUCCAAGGGAAAGUUGCCUGACUCAGAAGUCAGCAAAUCUCAUAGGCGUUUCUAACUGAGCUCCAAACCCUGAGGCAGAGCAGGGUGAAGGUCAUAGUAGUAGCUACCUCAAAGCAUUGUUUGAUCAGGUGCAGUAGAUUCACCAACACUGAAGUCAGUCAUGGCCAAGGCUGAAUUGUUGACGGAGAGAAGUGGAAACAUUUUCUUAGGCGGCAGUAGAGAAACUUGCUCCCCCCCCCCCCCUUUUUUCAUCAGAGGAGGGAUUGUAAGUGUAGCAGGAAUUACACAGCGAACUGGUAUUUUGAAAAAUGUGUCUGCCUGCUUUGAAGAUGCUUUCCAAAUGAAUUGCAAUUACUUACCACCAGGAAUAAAUGAUCUACAACAGGCAUUCAUAUUUUUUAUGCAGAACAAAUAUUAAAUAUCUGAAAAAUUCACUCAUUAGAUAAAAUCUCCUCCUCCCCCUCAACCAUAGUACCCCCAUGAGUUUUGGGGAAUUUGCUUUGUUAGUUAUUGUGUGAAAGGCAAGAACUUGUAUUACCCUCUGAGAAUUUGAAACUGUAUUGAUAUUGGAGUGGGCAAGGGCAGGAAUGACAUCCCCAGAUUUCUUUUUCUCUUGAGAAGCCAGUGAGUAAUUGGGGUGUGUCAGUUUCACUGUAAUUUUUGUCUAAGAGCAUUUUCCUCUCUGAGAUUUGUAUUCCAAAUACAAUGUUGUUGCUUAGAUAAUUUCUCUGGAAUAGCUAUAAUCCAGUAUAUGAGAUAAAAA